AAUGGAUGUCCCCACCUGGGACUGUCACCUGUAUGAUCCUAAGAUCUUCAACACCGGCGGCAGAGUUUACAAUGUUGGAUGGAUUUCCAUUUCCUUGAGAGCAAAGAAAAGAGAGUGACCAGAAAAUCAGCAAGUCUCUAAAGAAAAAAAAUACCCAAGUGUUACUUAAUGAGAAGUGCAGCCGGGGUGGAUCCUGGCCCCCUGGCCCCCUGCCCCCCGGCCCCCCUGACCCCCACCCCCAGUGCAGUGUGCGCAGGGGGCGGGGCUCAGGGAUGGUUGACCUUGAAGAUCAACUUGACUGGACCCGUCUGUGAGUGUGCUUCCAGAGUUCACACUGAGGAGGGAAGCCUCAUCCUGAUGUUGGGGCUCUACCUAUGUUCUGGGGGGCCCAGACUGAACAAAAAGAAGAAAGAAAGCUGCACACCAGCCUCAAUCUGUCUGCUUCCUGACUGGAUGCGGUGUGACCAGCCACCUCCAGCCCUGGCUACCGUACCUACUAUACUGUGAAAGACUGUCCCCUCAAACUGUGAGCCACAAGACACGUUCCUCCUUUAAGUUGCUGAUUUUCUUAGGAAAAAGCACCUUUUCAUUUAUGUAUAUGUGUGUGUCUUUGUUGGGAUGUGCGCAUAUCAGCACAGCAGAGGCUAGAAGAGGACAUUAGAUCCCCUGGGACUGGAGUCAGAGGCAUUUGUGAGCCACAGGACAUGUGCCCUGGGAACUGAACUCCGGUCCUCUGGAAGAUCAACAAUUAUUCUCAAGAAUAAGCCAACUCUGCAGUCCCUUUGUUUCUGUUUUCAAGGUAUGGUUUCUCUGUGUAGUCCUGGCUGUCUUAGAUCUGUGGACGAAGCUGGCCUUGAACUCCAAGAUCUUCCUGCCUCUGCCUCCUGAGUGCUGGGGUUCCAAGUGUGUGUCACCCCCCUGCCCCUGCAGGCCUGCGGUCCCAUUAGUUCAGUACUUUGUUCCAACACUGUGACGCUCCCUAAGGUGCCGGGUGGAAGGCUUCCACUGACACUGUCCUCUGCAGCUGAACAGGACAGUCAAGGAGACAGAGGUCAUCCCACGCUCUGACCCUCCCGCCACUCCACCUGUGGUCAUUUACAUCCGACUGAAGAGCUUCGGUGAGCUGGAAGGCACUGCUCCUACUGCGGAAGGACACACGACUACAGAAAAAGAGCAGACGCACUGGAUAGCCUUCAGUUUGGCUCUGGAGUCGCCUUCCUUGGCAAGCCAAUGUGGACAGCUGUGCAUAAAGAUCAGACGACAGAGGUCAUCCUGUCUACACGAGGAAAUCUGUGGCCAGCCUAGGCUACAUCACAUCUUGUCUCCACAAAAGUACCAUCCUGGGCUACCCACAUCCUCUGCCAGCAAACAGGAUGACCUAGCGUGGUAAGGCCACGGUGGGCAGGGCAGCCCCGGGGUGAGGCUCCCACUUACUGCACUUACAGAUCUGGAACACAAAGCACACAGCCCCCACUGCUGCUCCCUGAGACAGGUGUGCCAGGAGGCCACCGGCUUCCCCCCCCCCUUUAAGGGGCGGAGACGCUUCAUUUUCUAACCUUCAGAUGGCAGUUCCGUUUCGAUGACGUCACUGCUGGUGGAAGACUGCUGGCUUCCUGAAAGGAGAAUAAGCAGUCUGCAGCUCAGCACCAAACACAAGUACUGCUGGUUUCCCGGUGUCUGUCACCAUCCCAAGGCCACCUGGGCAAGAACAAAAAGGUGCGAGUUAGAUUCUCUCAGCCCCGAGGGACAGGACUCACAUUCGAGAACCACACAUCAUUUGAAAGUAAACAGAGGAAGGAGGACUCUCAAGUCAAGGCUGUCACAGAACUGCUAUCGGGGGAGGAGGCUGGUCAAACCAGCUCUGCUUAUUACCACAGCUGGUGGGCUACCCCGAAAAUGGGCAGACAGUGCCUGGAAGGUAGGCGAGGACCCCAGCCUGGCCAGUCACCAGCUGGGUCACCUGAGUGAGUCACUAAAGUGGCCUGUGUGCGUCUUCCUGGAAACAGUGAGGACUGGGGAGUAGCUGGCCCUCCACAGACAAUGGUGCCCAACUCCCAGGUCCCCAGCACAGGCUGAGGCAAGUCUCAAACAAACAAACAAACAAACAAAUAAAUAAACAGCCCAGUGUCUUGGA